UGGAUGGUUGACUGAGUGGUUUAAGGUGUAAUACUUGAGAUAUUAUAAGUCUUUUAGGCUUCGUAGGUUCAAAUCCUACACCAUUCGA
rnacentral:tRNA from 1 species